rnacentral:rRNA from 1 species
AGCAGCCGCGGUAAUUCCAGCUCCAAUAGCGUAUAUUAAAGUUGUUGCAGUUAAAAAGCUCGUAGUUGAAUUUCGGGAUCAAUAUGUUGGUCGUGCCUCGGUACGUACUAGCUUAUUGGUUUCUCCUUUCUGAAGAACCAUGAUGUCAUUUAUUUGGUGUCGUGGGGAAUCAGGACUGUUACUUUGAAAAAUUAGAGUGUUUAAAGCAGGCUCACGCUUGAAUACAUUAGCAUGGAAUAAUGAAAUAGGACGUUUGAUUCUAUUUUGUUGGUUUCUAGGAUCGACGUAAUGAUUAAUAGGGAUAGUUGGGGGCAUUAGUAUUCAAUUGUCAGAGGUGAAAUUCUUGGAUUUAUUGAAGACUAACUACUGCGAAAGCAUUUGCCAAGGAUGUUUUCAUUAAUCAAGAACGAAAGUUAGGGGAUCGAAGACGAUCAGAUACCGUCGUAGUCUUAACCAUAAACUAUGCCGACUAGGGAUCGGAUGAUGUUAAUUUUUAAUGUA